GUCGAGCGGACGAUUCAAAAGCUUGCUUUUGGAUCGUUAGCGGCGGACGGGUGAGUAACACGUGGGCAACCUGCCCUGUAGACGGGGAUAACACCGAGAAAUCGGUGCUAAUACCGGAUAAUACGAAAGGCCGCAUGGUCUUUCGUUGAAAGGCGGUGCAAGCUGUCGCUACAGGAUGGGCCCGCGGCGCAUUAGCUAGUUGGUGAGGUAACGGCUCACCAAGGCGACGAUGCGUAGCCGACCUGAGAGGGUGAUCGGCCACACUGGGACUGAGACACGGCCCAGACUCCUACGGGAGGCAGCAGUAGGGAAUCUUCCGCAAUGGACGAAAGUCUGACGGAGCAACGCCGCGUGAGCGAAGAAGGCCUUCGGGUCGUAAAGCUCUGUUGUUAGGGAAGAACAAGUACCGCAGUCACUGGCGGUACCUUGACGGUACCUAACGAGGAAGCCACGGCUAACUACGUGCCAGCAGCCGCGGUAAUACGUAGGUGGCAAGCGUUGUCCGGAAUUAUUGGGCGUAAAGCGCGCGCAGGCGGUUCCUUAAGUCUGAUGUGAAAGCCCACGGCUCAACCGUGGAGGGUCAUUGGAAACUGGGGGACUUGAGUGCAGAAGAGGAGAGCGGAACUCCACGUGUAGCGGUGAAAUGCGUAGAGAUGUGGAGGAACACCAGUGGCGAAGGCGGCUCUCUGGUC
rnacentral:rRNA from 1 species